rnacentral:rRNA from 1 species
GCUGGGCGGAUUAGUGGCGAACGGGUGAGUAACACGUGAGUAACCUGCCCUUGACUUCGGGAUAACUCCGGGAAACCGGGGCUAAUACCGGAUAUGAGCCGCCUUCGCAUGGGGGUGGUUGGAAAGUUUUUCGGUCAGGGAUGGGCUCGCGGCCUAUCAGCUUGUUGGUGGGGUGAUGGCCUACCAAGGCGACGACGGGUAGCCGGCCUGAGAGGGCGACCGGCCACACUGGGACUGAGACACGGCCCAGACUCCUACGGGAGGCAGCAGUGGGGAAUAUUGCACAAUGGGCGAAAGCCUGAUGCAGCGACGCCGCGUGAGGGAUGAAGGCCUUCGGGUUGUAAACCUCUUUCAGCAGGGAAGAAGCGCAAGUGACGGUACCUGCAGAAGAAGCGCCGGCUAACUACGUGCCAGCAGCCGCGGUAAUACGUAGGGCGCAAGCGUUGUCCGGAAUUAUUGGGCGUAAAGAGCUCGUAGGCGGUUUGUCGCGUCUGGUGUGAAAACUCGAGGCUCAACCUCGAGCUUGCAUCGGGUACGGGCAGACUAGAGUGCGGUAGGGGAGACUGGAAUUCCUGGUGUAGCGGUGGAAUGCGCAGAUAUCAGGAGGAACACCGAUGGCGAAGGCAGGUCUCUGGGCCGCAACUGACGCUGAGGAGCGAAAGC